rnacentral:rRNA from 1 species
UACGUAGGGUGCGAGCGUUGUCCGGAAUUAUUGGGCGUAAAGGGCUCGUAGGCGGUUUGUCGCGUCUGCUGUGAAAUCUGGGGGCUCAACCCCCAGCCUGCAGUGGGUACGGGCAGACUAGAGUGCGGUAGGGGAGAUUGGAAUUCCUGGUGUAGCGGUGGAAUGCGCAGAUAUCAGGAGGAACACCGGUGGCGAAGGCGGGUCUCUGGGACGGUACUGACGCUGAGACGCGAAGGCGUGGGGAGCGAACAGG